CAGUAGCCGCGGGAAUACCGAGGGUGCGAGCGUUAAUCGGAUUUACUGGGCGUAAAGCGUGCGUAGGCGGCUUUUUAAGUCGGAUGUGAAAUCCCUGAGCUUAACUUAGGAAUUGCAUUCGAUACUGGGAAGCUAGAGUAUGGGAGAGGAUGGUAGAAUUCCAGGUGUAGCGGUGAAAUGCGUAGAGAUCUGGAGGAAUACCGAUGGCGAAGGCAGCCAUCUGGCCUAAUACUGACGCUGAGGUACGAAAGCAUGGGGAGCAAACAGGAUUAGAUACACCAGUAGUCCCUGUCUCUUAUAA
rnacentral:rRNA from 1 species